rnacentral:rRNA from 1 species
CCGUGCGGCGUGCCCUAUACAUGCAAGUCGAACGAACUCUGGUAUUGAUUGGUGCUUGCAUCAUGAUUUACAUUUGAGUGAGUGGCGAACUGGUGAGUAACACGUGGGAAACCUGCCCAGAAGCGGGGGAUAACACCUGGAAACAGAUGCUAAUACCGCAUAACAACUUGGACCGCAUGGUCCGAGUUUGAAAGAUGGCUUCGGCUAUCACUUUUGGAUGGUCCCGCGGCGUAUUAGCUAGAUGGUGGGGUAACGGCUCACCAUGGCAAUGAUACGUAGCCGACCUGAGAGGGUAAUCGGCCACAUUGGGACUGAGACACGGCCCAAACUCCUACGGGAGGCAGCAGUAGGGAAUCUUCCACAAUGGACGAAAGUCUGAUGGAGCAACGCCGCGUGAGUGAAGAAGGGUUUCGGCUCGUAAAACUCUGUUGUUAAAGAAGAACAUAUCUGAGAGUAACUGUUCAGGUAUUGACGGUAUUUAACCAGAAAGCCACGGCUAACUACGUGCCAGCAGCCGCGGUAAUACGUAGGUGGCAAGCGUUGUCCGGAUUUAUUGGGCGUAAAGCGAGCGCAGGCGGUUUUUUAAGUCUGAUGUGAAAGCCUUCGGCUCAACCGAAGAAGUGCAUCGGAAACUGGGAAACUUGAGUGCAGAAGAGGACAGUGGAACUCCAUGUGUAGCGGUGAAAUGCGUAGAUAUAUGGAAGAACACCAGUGGCGAAGGCGGCUGUCUGGUCUGUAACUGACGCUGAGGCUCGAAAGUAUGGGUAGCAAACAGGAUUAGAUACCCUGGUAGUCCAUACCGUAAACGAUGAAUGCUAAGUGUUGGAGGGUUUCCGCCCUUCAGUGCUGCAGCUAACGCAUUAAGCAUUCCGCCUGGGGAGUACGGCCGCAAGGCUGAAACUCAAAGGAAUUGACGGGGGCCCGCACAAGCGGUGGAGCAUGUGGUUUAAUUCGAAGCUACGCGAAGAACCUUACCAGGUCUUGACAUACUAUGCAAAUCUAAGAGAUUAGACGUUCCCUUCGGGGACAUGGAUACAGGUGGUGCAUGGUUGUCGUCAGCUCGUGUCGUGAGAUGUUGGGUUAAGUCCCGCAACGAGCGCAACCCUUAUUAUCAGUUGCCAGCAUUAAGUUGGGCACUCUGGUGAGACUGCCGGUGACAAACCGGAGGAAGGUGGGGAUGACGUCAAAUCAUCAUGCCCCUUAUGACCUGGGCUACACACGUGCUACAAUGGAUGGUACAACGAGUUGCGAACUCGCGAGAGUAAGCUAAUCUCUUAAAGCCAUUCUCAGUUCGGAUUGUAGGCUGCAACUCGCCUACAUGAAGUCGGAAUCGCUAGUAAUCGCGGAUCAGCAUGCCGCGGUGAAUACGUUCCCGGGCCUUGUACACACCGCCCGUCACACCAUGAGAGUUUGUAACACCCAAAGUCGGUGGGGUAACCUUUUAGGAACCAGCCGCCUAAAGGGUGAACCAGGU